rnacentral:rRNA from 1 species
AGCGAACGCUGGCGGCAGGCCUAACACAUGCAAGUCGAGCGGCAGCGCGGGGGCAACCCUGGCGGCGAGCGGCGGACGGGUGAGGAAUUCGUCGGAAUCUGCCUUUUUGUGGGGAUAAACUAGGGGAACUUACGGUUAUUACGGCUUACUUCUUCCGGAGGAAGGGGGGGGACGGCAGGCCUUCAGCCAGAAGAAGAGCCGACGACCGGUUUGCUAGUUGGGGGGGUAAAGGGCCACCAAGGCGACGAUCGGGAGCUGGUCUGAGAGGAUGAUCAGCCACACUGGGACUGAGACACGGCCCAGACUCCUACGGGAGGCAGCAGUGGGGAAUAGUGGACAAUGGGCGCAAGCCUGAUCCAGCCAUGCCGCGUGUGUGAAGAAGGCCUUCGGGUUGUAAAGCACUUUUGUCCGGAAAGAAAUCCCUGGAGCUAAUACCUUCGGGGGAUGACGGUACCGGAAGAAUAAGCACCGGCUAACUUCGUG